GUCAGUAACCCAGCCCUAAAGGGACUGGGCUUGCAAGAGUAAUCAAGCAAGCCGUACUGACCAGACCACCCUGAGCGAAGUCGAAGGGUAGCCGUUAUUUGAGUCACGACACCCACCGAAUGCGUUGCCAGUUCCCUGCUCUGUCGCUUGUGAUUAAACAGUUCUAAGGUCACUGGAACAGUGUUGCAAGCUCAAGCAAGCUCUUGUAACAGGUCGUUCGCGCAGCGUGCCGUAGCAUCGGCUAACAUUAC
rfam:Aphanizomenon flos-aquae 2012/KM/D3 spades_26_len_New_1:20102, whole genome shotgun sequence.